AAGAGAAGAGAUAACUCGAGGCGGCCGCCGACAUGGCAUCCACCUAUCUGAGCUUUCUUGUCGCGAGCAAACUAAGCAACCUUGCUCCCUCUGCCAAGUUGGAGAAGACUGCUUUCUUGCCUGGUUUCGGAGCAGAAGGCGGCAUUUCCUAUUCCCGAGGAAAACCAAUACUAUCUGGUCCUAGGGCCACUCUGACGCUUGAUCCUUCGACUGAUGAUGUGGCAAAGACCAAACAGAGGAAGCACACUGUAGAUCCUGCAGCUCCUGACUUUCUUCCGCUUCCUUCAUAUGAAGAAUGCUUCCCAAAGAGUACAAAGGAAUACAGUGUUGUUGUGCAUGAGCAAUCUGGGCAUACCCUUAAUGUUCCAUUUCGUCGUGUUCAUCUUUCUGGGGACGAGCAGUACUUUGAUGCAUAUGAUACCAGCGGCCCACAAAACAUAAGCCCA
rnacentral:misc_RNA from 1 species